rnacentral:rRNA from 1 species
GAUGAACGCUGGCGGCGUGCCUAAUACAUGCAAGUCGAGCGAACAGACGAGGAGCUUGCUCCUCUGACGUUAGCGGCGGACGGGUGAGUAACACGUGGAUAACCUACCUAUAAGACUGGGAUAACUUCGGGAAACCGGAGCUAAUACCGGAUAAUAUAUUGAACCGCAUGGUUCAAUAGUGAAAGACGGUUUUGCUGUCACUUAUAGAUGGAUCCGCGCCGCAUUAGCUAGUUGGUAAGGUAACGGCUUACCAAGGCAACGAUGCGUAGCCGACCUGAGAGGGAGAUCGGCCACACUGGAACUGAGACACGGUCCAGACUCCUACGGGAGGCAGCAGUAGGGAAUCUUCCGCAAUGAGCGAAAGCCUGACGGAGCAACGCCGCGUGAGUGAUGAAGGUCUUCGGAUCGUAAAACUCUGUUAUUAGGGAAGAACAAAUGUGUAAGUAACUAUGCACGUCUUGACGGUACCUAAUCAGAAAGCCACGGCUAACUACGUG